AAUGAUUUCGAUCCAAUAUGGAUCAGAAUCGGCUGACAUCGAUCCAGUCUUGGAUUCCGAGUUUUUAAGCAAAAAGAAUGAAGAAUCACAGGACACAAAAUGCCAACGAAUGUAUGGUUUCAUCUGGAAAAGUCCAGCCGUCAACAAUUCAAAUACGCUUAUUAGCUUAUAUAUGUUGAUGGUAAAGGAACUUUCAUCCUCCCAUCAGUGACACGAUUACAGUAUAUUAUUUCUUACCUGAAGACGCGAUCUGUCUCCAUUUCCUCGAAACUAUUCUGAUGCUCUGGAAGAUCGAUGUAAAUCGAAACCCUCGCUUGAUCCUGAAUGGAUUGUGACAGCUCUAGAAGUUUUUGAGAGGGAUUCAACGGCCAUUGCCGAAUGCUUCACUGCUCUCUUCUCUUCUCUACGUUUGGCUCUAUAGGAAGUUUUUGAGAGGGAUUUUUUAUUCUAUUUUUCUCUCUCUAGCAAGAUUCUGCUCCAGAAGAAGAAGAUGAAGAUCACAACAGCUACUCCACGCUUUUGAAGAUCACACAGAAAUAUUUUUUAUUCUAUUUUUCUCUAGC